UUGGCAUAUAAAAGAUAGUUCUAUUAAUCUUAAUUUGAAGCUGUAUCAUGGUUCUUCUGGCACCUCUGUGGCUCUCAUUCUGCUGGCUUUCUGAACUGUUGUGUUCAACUAAAUAUUAAUCAAUGGCUGUUUUGCGGCUGCCUGAGAACUUCAAACCCACAAAGUCCAUAGUACUUAUACUCUGUUGUAGAGAGCAGGCUCAGGGUUUCCAAUACUUCAUUUCGACUGAAUCACAAAUGUGAUCUUAAGUUCUAGAGUUUGGACUUUUAUACAUUUCCAUAGAUGUCUCUAAGCAUGGUCAAGGUUUAGUAUGCCUAAUUCGAUAUUUG
rnacentral:misc_RNA from 1 species